rnacentral:rRNA from 1 species
UACGAAGGGGGCUAGCGUUGCUCGGAAUCACUGGGCGUAAAGCGCACGUAGGCGGAUUGUUAAGUCGAGGGGAUGAAAGUCCUGGAGCUCAACUCCAGAACUGCCUUUGAUACUGGCGAUCUUGAGUCCGGGAGAGGUGAGUGGAACUGCGAGUGUAGAGGUGAAAUUCGUAGAUAUUCGCAAGAACACCAGUGGCGAGGGCGGCUCACUGGCCCGGUACUGACGCUGAGGUGCGAAAGCGUGGGGAGCAAACAGG